rnacentral:rRNA from 1 species
CCUACGGGAGGCAGCAGUGGGGAAUAUUGCACAAUGGGGGAAACCCUGAUGCAGCGACGCCGCGUGAGUGAAGAAGGAUUUCGGUAUGUAAAGCUCUAUCAGCAGGGAAGAAAAUGGAGGUACCUGUUUAAGAAGCCCCGGCUAACUACGUGCCAGCAGCCGCGGUAAUACGUAGGGGGCAAGCGUUAUCCGGAUUUACUGGGUGUAAAGUGAGCGGAGACGGCAGCACAAGUCUGGAGUGAAAUGCCGGGGCUUAACCCCGGAACUGCUUUGGAUACUGGGCAGCUAGAGUGCAGGAGAGGUAAGUGGAAUUCCUAGUGUAGCGGUGAAAUGCGUAGAUAUUAGGAGGAACACCAGUGGCGAAGGCGGCUUACUGGACUGUAACUGACGUUGAGGCUCGAAAGCGUGGGGAGCAAACAGGAUUAGAUACCCCGGUAGUC